UACGGAGGGUGCAAGCGUUAUCCGGAUUCACUGGGCUUAAAGGGCGCGUAGGCGGGCUGCCAAGUCUGGGGUGAAAUCCCACGGCUUAACUGUGGAACGGCUGGGCAUACUGGCGGUCUUGAGCCAUCUAGGGGCGACUGGAACAAACGGUGGAGCGGUGAAAUGCGUAGAUAUCGUUUGGAACGCCAAUGGUGAAAACAGGUCGCUGGGGAUGAGCUGACGCUGAGACACGAAAGCCAGGGGAGCAAACAGG
rnacentral:rRNA from 1 species